rnacentral:rRNA from 1 species
CGCUGGCGGCGUGCCUAAUACAUGCAAGUCGAGCGAACGGACGAGAAGCUUGCUUCUCUGAUGUUAGCGGCGGACGGGUGAGUAACACGUGGAUAACCUACCUAUAAGACUGGGAUAACUUCGGGAAACCGGAGCUAAUACCGGAUAAUAUUUUGAACCGCAUGGUUCAAAAGUGAAAGACGGUCUUGCUGUCACUUAUAGAUGGAUCCGCGCUGCAUUAGCUAGUUGGUAAGGUAACGGCUUACCAAGGCAACGAUGCAUAGCCGACCUGAGAGGGUGAUCGGCCACACUGGAACUGAGACACGGUCCAGACUCCUACGGGAGGCAGCAGUAGGGAAUCUUCCGCAAUGGGCGAAAGCCUGACGGAGCAACGCCGCGUGAGUGAUGAAGGUCUUCGGAUCGUAAAACUCUGUUAUUAGGGAAGAACAUAUGUGUAAGUAACUGUGCACAUCUUGACGGUACCUAAUCAGAAAGCCACGGCUAACUACGUGCCAGCAGCCGCGGUAAUACGUAGGUGGCAAGCGUUAUCCGGAAUUAUUGGGCGUAAAGCGCGCGUAGGCGGUUUUUUAAGUCUGAUGUGAAAGCCCACGGCUCAACCGUGGAGGGUCAUUGGAAACUGGAAAACUUGAGUGCAGAAGAGGAAAGUGGAAUUCCAUGUGUAGCGGUGAAAUGCGCAGAGAUAUGGAGGAACACCAGUGGCGAAGGCGACUUUCUGGUCUGUAACUGACGCUGAUGUGCGAAAGCGUGGGGAUCAAACAGGAUUAGAUACCCUGGUAGUCCACGCCGUAAACGAUGAGUGCUAAGUGUUAGGGGGUUUCCGCCCCUUAGUGCUGCAGCUAACGCAUUAAGCACUCCGCCUGGGGAGUACGACCGCAAGGUUGAAACUCAAAGGAAUUGACGGGGACCCGCACAAGCGGUGGAGCAUGUGGUUUAAUUCGAAGCAACGCGAAGAACCUUACCAAAUCUUGACAUCCUUUGACAACUCUAGAGAUAGAGCCUUCCCCUUCGGGGGACAAAGUGACAGGUGGUGCAUGGUUGUCGUCAGCUCGUGUCGUGAGAUGUUGGGUUAAGUCCCGCAACGAGCGCAACCCUUAAGCUUAGUUGCCAUCAUUAAGUUGGGCACUCUAAGUUGACUGCCGGUGACAAACCGGAGGAAGGUGGGGAUGACGUCAAAUCAUCAUGCCCCUUAUGAUUUGGGCUACACACGUGCUACAAUGGACAAUACAAAGGGCAGCGAAACCGCGAGGUCAAGCAAAUCCCAUAAAGUUGUUCUCAGUUCGGAUUGUAGUCUGCAACUCGACUACAUGAAGCUGGAAUCGCUAGUAAUCGUAGAUCAGCAUGCUACGGUGAAUACG